CCUACGGGAGGCAGCAGUGGGGAAUAUUGGACAAUGGGCGAAAGCCUGAUCCAGCCAUGCCGCGUGUGUGAAGAAGGCCUUCGGGUUGUAAAGCACUUUCAGUGGGGAAGAAAGCCUUGGGGCUAAUACCCUCGAGGAAGGACAUCACCCACAGAAGAAGCACCGGCUAACUCCGUGCCAGCAGCCGCGGUAAUACGGAGGGUGCGAGCGUUAAUCGGAAUUACUGGGCGUAAAGCGCGCGUAGGCGGUCUGAUAAGCCGGUUGUGAAAGCCCCGGGCUCAACCUGGGAACGGCAUCCGGAACUGUCAGGCUAGAGUGCAGGAGAGGAAGGUAGAAUUCCCGGUGUAGCGGUGAAAUGCGUAGAGAUCGGGAGGAAUACCAGUGGCGAAGGCGGCCUUCUGGACUGACACUGACGUUGAGGUGCGAAAGCGUGGGUAGCAAACAGGAUUAGAUACCCUAGUAGUC
rnacentral:rRNA from 1 species